AGUGAACGCUGGCGGUAGGCCUAACACAUGCAAGUCGAACGGCAGCACAGUAAGAUCUUGCUCUUACGGGUUGCGAGUGGCGUACGGGUGAUGAAUACAUCGUAAUCUACUUUUUCUUGUGUGAUAACGUAGGGAAACUUACGCUAAUACCGCAUACGACCUACCGUUGUAAUCAUGGGAUCUUCUGACCUUGCGCGAUUUUAUUCGCCUAUGUCGGAUUAGCUAGUUGGCUGGGUAAAGGCCCACCAAGGCGACGAUGCGUAUCUGGUCUGAGAGGAUGAGCAGCCACACUGGAACUGAGACACGGACAAGAAUCCGACGGGAGGGAGCAGUGGGGAAUAUUGGACAAGGGGAGAAAGCAUGAUACAGAAAUACCGAGUGGGUGAAGAAGGACUUCGGGUUGUAAAGCCCUUUUGUGGGGAAAGAAAAGAAGGAGGAUAAAACCAGGAUGUACUGACGGUACCCAAAGAAUAAGCACCGGCUAACUUCGUG
rnacentral:rRNA from 1 species